rnacentral:rRNA from 1 species
UGCAAGUCGAGGGGUAGAAAGAGCUUGCUCUUUUGAGACCGGCGCACGGGUGCGUAACGCGUAUGCAAUCUACCCCCUGCAGGGGAAUAGCCCAGGGAAACUUGGAUUAAUGCCCCAUAGCCCAUACUGAUGGCAUUUGAAAUAUGGUAAAGAUUUAUCGGUAGGGGAUGAGCAUGCGUCCCAUUAGCUAGUUGGUGUGGUAACGGCAUACCAAGGCUACGAUGGGUAGGGGCCCUGAGAGGGGGAUCCCCCACACUGGUACUGAGACACGGACCAGACUCCUACGGGAGGCAGCAGUGAGGAAUAUUGGACAAUGGGCGGGAGCCUGAUCCAGCCAUGCCGCGUGCAGGAAGACUGCCCUAUGGGUUGUAAACUGCUUUUUUACGGGAAGAAACACCCCCACGUGUGGGGGCUUGACGGUACCGUACGAAUAAGGACCGGCUAACUCCGUGCCAGCAGCCGCGGUAAUACGGAGGGUCCGAGCGUUAUCCGGAAUCAUUGGGUUUAAAGGGUCCGUAGGCGGGCGUCUAAGUCAGUGGUGAAAUUCUGCAGCUCAACUGUAGGACUGCCAUUGAUACUGGUCGCCUUGAAUUAGUGUGAAGUGGCUAGAAUAUGUAGUGUAGCGGUGAAAUGCUUAGAUAUUACAUAGAAUACCGAUUGCGAAGGCAGGUCACUAACACUAUAUUGACGCUGAUGGACGAAAGCGUGGGGAGCGAACAGGAUUAGAUACCCUGGUAGUCCACGCCGUAAACGAUGGAUACUAGCUGUCCGGCCUGCAUUGGUAGGCUGGGUGGCCAAGCGAAAGUGAUAAGUAUCCCACCUGGGGAGUACGUUCGCAAGAAUGAAACUCAAAGGAAUUGACGGGGGCCCGCACAAGCGGUGGAGCAUGUGGUUUAAUUCGAUGAUACGCGAGGAACCUUACCAGGGCUUAAAUGUAGUCUGACAGGGGUGGAAACACCCCCUUCUUCGGACAGACUGCAAGGUGCUGCAUGGUUGUCGUCAGCUCGUGCCGUGAGGUGUCAGGUUAAGUCCUAUAACGAGCGCAACCCCUGUCGUUAGUUGCCAGCAUGUAAAGAUGGGAACUCUAACGAGACUGCCGGUGCAAACCGUGAGGAAGGUGGGGAUGACGUCAAAUCAUCACGGCCCUUACGUCCUGGGCCACACACGUGCUACAAUGGCAGGUACAAUGGGCAGCCACGCCGCAAGGCGGAGCGAAUCCACAAAACCUGUCUCAGUUCGGAUCGGGGUCUGCAACUCGACCCCGUGAAGCUGGAAUCGCUAGUAAUCGGAUAUCAGCCAUGAUCCGGUGAAUACGUUCCCGGGCCUUGUACACACCGCCCGUCAAGCCAUGGAAGCUGGAAGCACCUGAAGUCCGUCACCGCAAGGAGCGGCCUAG